UACGGAGGGUGCAAGCGUUAUCCGGAUUCACUGGGUUUAAAGGGUGCGUAGGCGGGCAAUUAAGUCAGUGGUGAAAUCUUGGGGCUCAACCCCGAAACUGCCAUUGAUACUAUUUGUCUUGAAUACUGUGGAGGUCAGCGGAAUAUGUCAUGUAGCGGUGAAAUGCUUAGAUAUGACAUAGAACACCGAUUGCGAAGGCAGCUGGCUACACAAGCAUUGACGCUGAGGCACGAAAGCGUGGGGAUCAAACAGG
rnacentral:rRNA from 1 species